UCCAAGACCAGAGGAAACCUAGCCCAGAGC
rnacentral:piRNA from 1 species